UACGGGGGGGAGCAAGCGUUGUUCGGAUUUACUGGGCGUAAAGGGCGCGUAGGCGGCCUCUGCAAGUCGACUGUGAAAUCUCCGGGCUUAACCCGGAAAGGUCAGCCGAUACUGCAGGGCUAGAGUGCAGAAGGGGCAACUGGAAUUCUCGGUGUAGCGGUGAAAUGCGUAGAUAUCGAGAGGAACACCUGCGGCGAAGGCGGGUUGCUGGGCUGACACUGACGCUGACAGCGCGAAAGCUAGGGGAGCGAAGCGGG
rnacentral:rRNA from 1 species